rfam:Brachypodium distachyon strain Bd21 chromosome 5, whole genome shotgun sequence.
AAACUACUCCCUUCGUCUAACAAUGUCUCAAUUUUGACUAAAUUUAAAUGGAUCUAUAUAGUAAGUCAUGUCUAAAUACAUCCAAAUUUUAACAAACUUGAGACGUCUUUUGUUGGACGGAGGGAGUAAUAA